UACGUAGGGUGCAAGCGUUGUCCGGAAUUAUUGGGCGUAAAGAGCUCGUAGGCGGCCUGUCACGUCGGCUGUGAAAACUCGGGGCUCAACCCCGAGCCUGCAGUCGAUACGGGCAGACUAGAGUCCGGCAGGGGAGACUGGAAUUCCUGGUGUAGCGGUGGAAUGCGCAGAUAUCAGGAGGAACACCGGUGGCGAAGGCGGGUCUCUGGGCAGUAACUGACGCUGGAG
rnacentral:rRNA from 1 species